UCUUCUAUCAGCAAACAUUGAUGUUCUUUUCUUACAUCUUUUAAUGAAGCUGACAUUAGGGAGAUGUUUCAUUUUCAUAAAGUCAAACGGCUGCCUUUUAAGAGGGUUUGGGUUCCAUGUUAAUGUUUCAAAGCCUUAACUAGGGGAUGGGUGUUUGGUGGAAGUAGAAAAGGAAUUAGGAGGACUUCUUCCCUGUUGGUCCAAGAGGAGCUGCUUUGAGAGGUCAGAUGCCCAGGGGACCCGGUACAGCGUGCCAGCCCCCCUCCCCAAGCUAAUGAGCUCUAAAAGUAUCAAUGCGAUGAGCUCAGCCCUGCAAGUGAAAUCAUUCAGCAGUGCUGCUCUCAUAGCUGUGCCUGCCUCUCACUGACCACGGCUUAAAUCCUCCCUCCCUGCAGCCACCUCUGGGGACCUCCAGAGCUAAUUGCUUCAGGGAGCUUCAUUGAAAUGAAGCACCCUCAGCUGCUCAUAAAAGCUUUAUCGUGGGCGAAGGCUGACCCAGACGGAACAGUAGCAUCUAUCUCCCAGGUCAGGGGGCCAAAGGCGCCGGCCGAGGCAGGAUCUAGGCUUACAGAAAUAACUCGGUUAGGUAUUAAAAAGCCGGGGGCGGGGGAAGAGGCUGUAAUUUUAUCUCUUCCCGAGUGCCCCUCUCUUUACAAUUUGGGCCUUACCUGGUGACUAUGUGUACUUGAGUCACUCAUUGUGGGCCAAACAACCUCAAGAUGCAAUUUCUUUCAAAGGUAGAAAAAAAAUAAAUAAACGAAAGUCUGCUCCUGCUG
rnacentral:lncRNA from 1 species